UACGUAGGGGGCAAGCGUUGUCCGGAUUUAUUGGGCGUAAAGGGCGCGUAGGCGGCCUUCUAAGUCAGACGUGAAAUCCCCCGGCUUAACCUGGGAACUGCGUCUGAUACUGGGAGGCUAGAGUAUGGGAGAGGGAUGUAGAAUUCCAGGUGUAGCGGUGAAAUGCGUAGAUAUCUGGAGGAAUACCGGUGGCGAAGGCGGCAUCCUGGACCAACACUGACGCUGAGGAGCGAAAGCCAGGGGAGCAAACGGG
rnacentral:rRNA from 1 species